rnacentral:rRNA from 1 species
AACGGAGGGAGCGAGUGUUACUCAUCGUAACUGGGUGUAAAACGUCUGUAGAUGGUUUAUUAAGUUUUUUUAUCUAAAUUCGUAUAAAAAGCGUAUAUUUAUUAAUACUAUUAAACUAGAGUUUAUUAGAUUAUAGCGGUGCCCUUGUGUGUUAAAAAGGUGAAAAUUUUUGUAAAAACAACAAGGAAACGAACAUCGGC